UGCUGAGAAGCGGGAGCGCGCGCGGGGGGGUGGGAGGCGGGGAAAGGGCGACGAAGGAGUGAGCAGGCCGCGUCUGCCGCGCCAGCGACGUCUGACGGCCUUCCGCUCUAAACCGCUUGAGGGUCACACCUGGCUUCGCCUUAGAGCAUCAGGGACCGCAGCCAUUCAGGUCCCAUCCUGCAAAACAACUGUUACCCGAUCCCAGAAACAGUUUAAGGAUAGCCAAACAUAUGCAUUUUUAAAACACACCUCUGGAGGUUGAGGCAGGAGGAUCUUGAAUCCAAGACUUUUUUUUCCCCAGACCACCCCAAGCAGAGAAGAUUCGACAUCUGAUAUCAGCUAUGGAAAACAAAAACAACCUCGUGCUCAAGGCAUCUUCGCUGAAUGAGUCAACAAGCCUGUGUCGACAAUGCAAGACAUGUAAAGACAAAAUGCCUCUGGAGCCAAUCCAUACUUUUUUAUACUUUUUGUGUCUAUGGUGCUGGGGAUCAAAACAGAGCCUCCUGCUUGCUGGGAAACCAUCCCACCACUAAGCUACAGCCUCGGCACAUUUUAUUUGGAGACAAUUCUAGAUUAACA
rnacentral:lncRNA from 1 species